rnacentral:rRNA from 1 species
GACGAACGCUGGCGGCGUGCUUAACACAUGCCAGUCGAACGGAAAGGCCCUGCUUUUGUGGGGUGCUCGAGUGGCGAACGGGUGAGUAACACGUGAGUAACCUGCCCUUGACUUUGGGAUAACUUCAGGAAACUGGGGCUAAUACCGGAUAGGAGCUCCUGCUGCAUGGUGGGGGUUGGAAAGUUUGGGCGGUUGGGGAUGGACUCGCGGCUUAUCAGCUUGUUGGUGGGGUAGUGGCUUACCAAGGCUUUGACGGGUAGCCGGCCUGAGAGGGUGACCGGCCACAUUGGGACUGAGAUACGGCCCAGACUCCUACGGGAGGCAGCAGUGGGGAAUAUUGCACAAUGGGCGGAAGCCUGAUGCAGCAACGCCGCGUGCGGGAUGACGGCCUUCGGGUUGUAAACCGCUUUCGCCUGUGACGAAGCGUGAGUGACGGUAAUGGGUAAAGAAGCACCGGCUAACUACGUG